rnacentral:rRNA from 1 species
GACGAACGCUGGCGGCGUGCCUAAUACAUGCAAGUAGAACGCUGAAGAGAGGAGCUUGCUCUUCUUGGAUGAGUUGCGAACGGGUGAGUAACGCGUAGGUAACCUGCCUGGUAGCGGGGGAUAACUAUUGGAAACGAUAGCUAAUACCGCAUAAAAUUGAUUAUUGCAUGAUAAUUAAUUGAAAGAUGCAACUGCAUCACUACCAGAUGAACCUGCGUUGUAUUAGCUAGUUGGUGAGGUAACGGCUCACCAAGGCGACGAUACAUAGCCGACCUGAGAGGGUGAUCGGCCACACUGGGACUGAGGCACGGCCCAGACUCCUACGGGAGGCAGCAGUAGGGAAUCUUCGGCAAUGGGGGGAACCCUGACCGAGCAACGCCGCGUGAGUGAAGAAGGGUUUCGGAUCGUAAAGCUCUGUUGUAAGAGAAGAACGGGUGUGAGAGUGGAAAGUUCACACUGUGACGGUAUCUUACCAGAAAGGGACGGCUAACUACGUG